rnacentral:rRNA from 1 species
GAUUUUCGCAAUGCCCGAAAGGGUGACGAAGCGACGCCGCGUGCGGGAAGAAGGCCUUCGGGUUGUAAACCGCUGUCGGGAGUUAAGAAAUGUAAGGAUGUUAAUAGCAUCUUUGCUUGACUAAGGCUCCGGAGGAAGCCACGGCUAACUCUGUGCCAGCAGCCGCGGUAAUACAGAGGCGGCAAGCGUUGUUCGGAAUUAUUGGGCGUAAAGAGCACGUAGGCGGCUAUGUAAGUCGGUUGUGAAAGCCUUCCGCUCAACGGGAGAACAGCAUCCGAUACUGCACGGCUUGAGUGCGGGAGGGGAGAGUGGAACUUCUGGUGGAGCGGUGAAAUGCGUAGAUAUCAGAAGGAACGCCGGCGGCGAAAGCGGCUCUCUGGCCCAUAACUGACGCUGAGUGUGCGAAAGCUAGGGGAGCAAACGGGAUUAGAUACCCCGGUAGUCCUAGCCGUAAACGAUGGGCACUAAGUAGAGGGGUUUUAAUC